AACAUUUCUAUGGUAUUAAAGAUUUAAACCUUAUUAAAACAUAAAAAAAUCUACCGUGAUACAUAUCGUUAUCAUGAUUUAAAAUUAAUCCUAUCGUGAUAGAAGAUUUUGGUCAUAUCGCCCACCCCUAAGUGCAACACUGUUCAUACUUUUGUGUUUAAUUUUUCAAGUGAUUGUGUGAUAUCCAUCAACUUAUUGAUUUUUUUCUUUUACUAUAACAAUUGACAAAACGGUUAUUUUAACAACUACUCUUCUAUUUCUGCCUUCACCUUUUGUGUAUCUGACUAUCAGUUAUGACAGGUAAAAAGCCAUUACAUUUCCAAAAUCUUACUAACUUAAGUGAAUUAAUUUUUGUUUUGUUUGUUUGUUUUUAUUUUUAGGAAGAAGCAGUGCACAUCAACCAUGUUGGAAGCAUUCAAGGAUGAGACAAAACGGCAGGAGAAAGAAGUGCAGAACAUCAGAGUACAUCUUGAACAUCUUGAUGUUGCCAGAUGCUGUCCUGUCAGAAGUUCUUCUUCACGUGGUCCUGGAGGAGGGUGAUGCUGCUGCAUUGUUAAAUCUCUCUUUGGUUUGUUCCAAAUUCAGAAGUCUGGUGGACAGGCACACUUCUGCUGGCUUGAUGGUGUAACUAAAUGGAGUACAAAGUCUGAGCCAUCCCAGGACCUUUAGAAAAUGUUUACACUUCAGCCAACACUGCAAUGAAGUUUACAAUAACUGCUUACCAGGUUAUGUUGGAAGAGGAAAACGAGGAGAGAUGCAAGGCUUUUACUCCGAAAACACCCAUCCAGGGGUUUGCAGUGAGUGGUGCAUGAUGCUACAGGAGGAAUAACUCUGUAUAACACAUCAGUUCUGUUCUGAAAGUCUUGUAAAUACCUCCAGGAUUGUUGUUCGUGAUUCUGAUUUCUGACAUCUACUAGGGAGUGCCCCUAAUAUUAUGUGUAUAUGUUUAUGAAGAAGUUUCUUUGUCUCAAAUCAUGCAAUCAUGCUCUUCUGCAAAUCAUGCACCAAAGGGUACUGUAUUUCUUAUGUUUUAUAUCUUAAGGACCACAAUGGAAAUAAGCCUAUGGGCUUUUUGUAUUUUUAUCCUUUUGAACACUUCAUGUUGAUUGUUGUUCAAUAAAGUAUUUAAUCAAUUCAA